UCCGCCCAGGGUUAGCCGGAUCCUAAGGCGAGGCCGAAAGGCGUAGUCGAUGGCUAGCAGGUUAAUAUUCCUGCGCCACCCUAAGCUGAUGCGAUGGGGGGACAGGGCUCCAAAAGUCUACUCACUGCUGGAAUAGUGAGGUCAAGCCCGAGGUGGGCUGGUAGGGAAAUCCGCCAGCAUAAAGCCGGAGGUGACGACGAGGCCAUUACGUGCCGAAGUGACCUGAGGGGCCUUCAAGAAAAUCCUCUAAGCGUUCGAGGUUUAGGGUGUCCGUACUGAAAACCGACACAGGUGGGCGAGGAGAGUAUCCUAAGGCGCUCGAGAGAACCAUCGUUAAGGAACUCGGCAAAUUAGCCCCGUAACUUCGGGAUAAGGGGUGCUCUGACGGGUGAAGGGCCUCGCGCCCAGAGCCAGUUCAGAGCGACAGCAAAGCGACCCAUGAAACUGUUUAUCAAAAACACAGCUCUGUGCUAAGGCCAAAAGCCUACGUAUACAGUGCGACGCUUGCCCGCUGUUGGUAGGUUAAGGGGAAGGGUCAAGGACUUCGGUCCUGAAGCUCAUAACCGAAGCCCCAAUGAAGGGCGGCCGUAACUAUGACGGUCCUAAGGUAGCGAAAUUCCUUGUCGGGUAAGUUCCGACCCGCAUGAAUAGCGUAAUGACAUGGGAACUGUCUCAACGAUGGACUCGGCGAAACUUAAUUCGAGGUGAAGAUGCCUCGUCCCCGCGGGUAGGCGGAAAGACCCUAUGAACCUUUACUGCAGCAUAUUAUUGGGUUUAGGUAUGCUCUGUGUAGAAUAGGUGGGAGGCUUCGAGGCCGGGGCGCCAGCUCCGGCAGAGCCGUCAGUGAAAUACCACUCUCUGUAUAUUUGAACUCUAACCGGGUGCCAUGAAUCUGGGCCUGGAACAGUGGUAUGUGGGCAGUUUGACUGGGGCGGUCUCCUCCCAAAGAGUAACGGAGGAGCGCAAAGGUACCCUCAGCACGGUUGGCAAUCGUGCGUAGAGCGCAAAGGUAGAAGGGUGCUUGACUGCGAGUCGUACUUGACAAGCAGAUGCGAAAGCAGGCCUUAGUGAUCCGGUGGUUGCGCGUGGAAGCGCCAUCGCUCAACGGAUAAAAGGUACUCUAGGGAUAACAGGCUUAUCUCCCCCAAGAGUCCAUAUCGACGGGGAGGUUUGGCACCUCGAUGUCGGCCCGUCGCAUCCUGGGGCUGAAGCAGGUCCCAAGGGUUUGGCUGUUCGCCAAUUAAAGCGGCACGCGAGCUGGGUUCAGACCGACGUGAGUCAGGUCGGUCCCUACCUUCCGUGGGUGUAGGAGAUUUGAGGGAUUUUCUCCCUAGUACGAGAGGAUUGGGAGGAACGGACCUCUGGUGUUCCUGUUGUCACGCCAGUGGCAGCGCAGGGUAGCUACGUCUGGUACGGAUAAGCGCUGAAAGCAUAUAAGCGCGAAGCCAUUCCCGAAACUAGAUCUCCCUGGGACUUCGGUCCCCUAAAGGGUCGUGGAAGACUACCACGUUGAUAGGCCGGGUGUGUAAGCAUAGCGAUACGUUAAGCUGACCGGUACUAAUGGCCCGUGAGGCUUAGGCUC
rnacentral:rRNA from 1 species